CUGGAGGACCAUGACUUGGUAGCACUGUCUGCUUCUCUGAAGAGUUCACACUUCUGUCUCCCAAUAACCCACACAGGUGCUCCACCUCCUCCAACACUG